rnacentral:rRNA from 1 species
UACGGGGGGGGGCAAGCGUUGUUCGGAAUUACUGGGCGUAAAGGGCUCGUAGGCGGCCAACUAAGUCAGACGUGAAAUCCCUCGGCUUAACCGGGGAACUGCGUCUGAUACUGGAUGGCUUGAGGUUGGGAGAGGGAUGCGGAAUUCCAGGUGUAGCGGUGAAAUGCGUAGAUAUCUGGAGGAACACCGGUGGCGAAAGCGGCGCGCUGGAUCCCUUCUGACGCUGAGGCACGAAAGCCAGGGGAGCAAACGGG